UCUCACGUUCGAACCCGCGUGUCCCGGCUGACUCGCUCGACGGUAUACGAAAGGUUUAAGGCCGCUCUCUCGGAGCGUUCGACUCAUUGCAAGCACGUCGGAUGAUUGUCGGCGAUCGGACCUAGUGCCGAUUCUGACCUCCGGCGACUGUUGGCCGUGAAGUUCUCGAACAGACCUUAAGAUCGAUCUGCGACGCUAUAGCUUUGGGUACUUUCAGGACCCGUCUUGAAACACGGACCAAGGAGUCUAGCAUGUGCGCGAGUCAUUGGGAAUCACUAAACCUAAAGGCGCAAUGAAAGUAAAAGUCCGCCUAGCGCGGACUUAGGGAAGACGGGCGGUUUACCCUUAAAAGUAGCCGCUCUGCACUCCCGGGGCGUCUCAUUCUCAUCGCGAGAAGAGGCGCACCAAGAGCGUACACGCUGGGACCCGAAAGAUGGUGAACUAUGCCUGGUCAGGACGAAGUCAGGGGAAACCCUGAUGGAGGUCCGUAGCGAUUCUGACGUGCAAAUCGAUCCUCGGAA
rnacentral:rRNA from 1 species